rnacentral:rRNA from 1 species
AGUGGAUGGGGAGCAACCUAGUUGUGCGUGUGUAAAGGUAGUGCCAAGAAAAGCGGUGAUCAUGAUGAAAAUCAAUUCCCGGUACCCGAAACCGACACAGGUGGGCAAGUAGAGAAUACUAAGGGGCGCGAGGUAACUCUCUCCAAGGAACUCGGCAAAAUGACCCCGUAACUUAGGGAGAAGGGGUGCCACCGAGAGGUGGUCGCAGUGAAGAGGCCCAGGCGACUGUUUAGCAAAAACAUAGGUCUCUGCAAACUCGAAAGAGGAGGUAUAGGGGCUGACGCCUGCCCAGUGCCGGAAGGUUAAAGAAGUUGGUCAGUCUUAGGAUAAAGCUAGCGACUGAAGCCCCGGUGAACGGCGGCCGUAACUAUAACGGUCCUAAGGUAGCGAAAUUCCUUGUCGGGUAAGUUCCGACCCGCACGAAAGGCGUAACGAUCUGGGCGCUGUCUCGGAGAGAGGCUCAGCGAAAUAGGAUUGUCUGUGAAGAUACGGACUACCUGCAUUUGGACAGAAAGACCCUAUGAAGCUUUACUAUAGCUUGGAAUUGUGUUCGGGCUUCCUGUGCGCAGGAUAGGUGGGAGGCGUAGAAGGUAUUCUUGUGGGGAUACUGGAGCCAACGGUGAGAUACCACUCUCAGGAGGCUAGAAUUCUAACUUAAUUAAGGACAGUUUCAGGUGGGUAGUUUGACUGGGGCGGUCGCCUCCAAAAAGGUAACGGAGGCGUACAAAGGUUCCCUCAGACUGGUUGGAAAUCAGUCGCAGAGUGCAAAGGCAGAAGGGAGCUUGACUGCGAGAAGUACAGUUCGAGCAGGGUGGAAACACGGUCUUAGUGAUCCGACGGUGCUGUGUGGAAGGGCCGUCGCUCAACGGAUAAAAGUUACUCUAGGAUAACAGGCUGAUCUCCCCCAAGAGUUCACAUCGACGGGGAGGUUUGGCACCUCGAUGUCGGCUCAUCGCAACCUGGGGCGGAAGUACGUCCCAAGGGUUGGGCUGUUCGCCCAUUAAAGCGGUACGUGAGCUGGGUUCAGAACGUCGUGAGACAGUUCGGUCCAUAUCCGAUGUAGGCGUGAGAAUAUUGAGAGGAGCCUUCCUUAGUACGAGAGGACCGGGAAGGACGCACCGCUGGUGUACCUGUUAUGAUGCCAAUUGUAAACGCAGGGUAGCCAAGUGCGGAGAGGAUAACCGCUGAAAGCAUCUAAGUGGGAAGCCCACCUCAAGAUGAGUAUUCUGGUGUAAGGUCACGGGAAGACGACCCGUAAAUAGGCACGAGGUGGAAGUGCAGAGAUGUAUGAAGCCGAAGUGUACUAAUAGACCGUCGGCUU